UUCAGCCAAUGAUGUUUCUAUUCAAAAUGUCUGAAUCUGUCUGAAGCAUCCCAGUGAUGCAACCACUGUGUAAAAACAUUGCCUCUUUCA
ensembl:snoRNA